rnacentral:RNase_P_RNA from 1 species
AGGCGCGGCAAGGCGGCCGCGAGCGCACCACGGUGGUGCGUCUUGAGGAAAGUCCGAGCACGAAAGGACACGGUGGUGGGUAACGCCCACCCGUCCGGAACGGCCGAAAGGACGGUCCCGGGCGAGGGACAGUGCAACAGAAAGCAAACCGCCGAUGGCCCCUGAUCGGGCCGGGUCACGCCCGGUGCGAAAGGGGGAUCAGGCAAGGGUGAAACGGUGCGGUAAGAGCGCACCGCUCCCCGGGCGACCGGGGAGGCACGGCAAACCCCACCGCGUGCAAGGUCACGCAGCUCCCGCGAGGGUGGCACGCCUCUCCGAGGCGGGAUCACACUCGACGCCUCGUCCGGGCGGAAGGGGAGCGGGUAGACCGCAGGACCCGUCCCGAUCAUCCGCAAGGGUGCUCGGCCGGGCCCGCCGCCGAAAGGCGGUGAGAGAAAUGGCCGCCCACGCCGGCAGGCCCGUUCUUUGGUGGCACGCCUCUCCGAGGCGUGUCCCCGAGCCCCCGUCAAGGUUUGAACGGGAACCACCGGCUGGACAGAACUCGGCUUAGCCGCCGCGCCGGACC